GACUGCAGCAGCUGGUCUCACGCACACGGAGCGCGCGGCGAGGGGGCCCCCGGCCAAACCGUUACCACCCAUAUUAUACAAACAGUUCUCGGCCGGAACCUUGUUGCCAGGGGAGACGGGCGCUUUACGGCAGGACGUUUGAACGGCGGCGAGGGAAAAGUUGCUGCCGCAGGGCGAGGAGGAGACCUCCGGAAGCGAGCGGUGCUGCUCCCAGCGUGUGCAAGAUCGGCCCUUGCCGUGUUUUCAUCAGUGAUACUGUAUGAAGAGGUAUAAAAUUGCACACGAUAAAAAUUAAUGAGAGGAGAGAGCCCUUUUUAUAGACAAUAGUAUUUAGUAAACAGCCAGCCCCUAUGUCAUUUGGAUUUAAUAAACAUUUAAUGUAUUAAAAAUGAAAGUAUUAAAUCCUUAUUUACCAUCAAA